rnacentral:rRNA from 1 species
GACUCUCGGCAACGGAUAUCUCGGCUCACGCAUCGAUGAAGAACGUAGCAAAAUGCGAUACUUGGUGUGAAUUGCAGAAUCCCGUGAACCAUCGAGUUUUUGAACGCAAGUUGCGCCCGAAGCCUUUCGGCUAAGGGCACGUCUGCCUGGGCGUCACAC